CGACGACGUGACAGACGGCAAUGUCAUUGCCAGAGGAUUCGCUACGGCCGCGGCCGUUGAAACUCGUCGUGUCCGGGAAGUUGGUCCAUUAGCUCUUAACAUUCUCGCGUUAACGCCGUUUAUUACGUGGGCGUAACGUAAUACCUUCGCGUGGACCAUUUUAUCAGACGGCACAUACUUCCAAGUAUCUAAGUAGACGUUACGACAUCAAUUAUUGGAAUUGUCAGCAACCAAGUGAUAAAACAUGUCAAAUAAUGGUACCAUCUUCGGGUGUGUUAGAAGGAGCUUCGAAGGCUUUUGCACCAUUUAACUGUAUUUUGUUCUGCACCUUAAUCACGUCGCGACAUCCAAUAGAAGUA
rnacentral:misc_RNA from 1 species